rnacentral:rRNA from 1 species
GUGCACCAGGCGAGAAACUUCACACUGUGCGAAGCACGAUGAGGGAAUCCCAAGUGCUUGCACGUAAGUGUAAGCUGUUUCUCUGUUUAAACGCAGAGAGAGUAAGGGCUGGGUAAGACGGGUGCCAGCCGCCGCGGUAAUACCUGCAGCUCAAGUGGUGACCGUUAUUAUUGGGCCUAAAACGUCCGUAGCCGGUUUAAUAAAUGCCUGGGUAAAUCGUGUAGCUUAACUAUACGAAUUCCGGGUAGACUGUUAAACUCGAGACCGGGAGAAGUUAGAGGUACUCCUGGGGUAGAGGUGAAAUUCUGUAAUCCUAGGGGGACCACCAGUGGCGAAGGCGUCUAACUAGAACGGGUCUGACGGUGAGGGACGAAGCCCUGGGGCGCAAAACGGGGAUUAGAUACCCCCGUAGUCCCUGG